AUUUAGAUUCUCUAUAAAUACU
rnacentral:snRNA from 1 species